UUUGGAAUCCAUGUACUCAAUUAUAUAACCAUUCUUAGUUCUGGUGAAUUAAAAGAUCAAUUACCAGUUCUUCAUACCUUUUUCUUCUACUGUUGGCCGAUUUUGUGUUAAAAUGAGAUUAAUUUAUUACUUACUUUUAGCUAGAAGCCUAGAACCCGAAGGCAAGUGAUAAGCAUUAUUGUUUGAUUUCAUGCUUUCUAUGAAAAGCUUGCUGGACCUGAAAGGGAGAGAGAACUAUCAGAUACAGAUGUCCAAUCAGCAGUAUGGGAGGUCUGUGGUGAUACUGGAGCUUUACAAUUGCUUGUUGAUCUUCUUCGUGUGAAGAUGAUGAAUCUUGAAGAGAGUUCCGGAACAGAUGAAGAUGACCUUGAUUUACUCAGGAAAGCCCUUAUUAUUGAUGACCAGGAAGAUAGCAAACAAUGCACGAGCAACUUAAGCACAAAGAUAAAUGACUCUGAGGAGCCAAAGUUGAUGACUAGAAACAAGUGGUCUGCUAUAGUAUAUCGGCGUGGACAGAAACAGCUAACAAGGUUAUUCCUGCAAGAAGCAGAACAUGCUUUGCAGUUAUCACUGAAUGAAGAAGAGGUGACUUCUUGCUAACUAUGUCACAUUGUUUAGUCCUAUUUUCCCACUUUCAUCUUAACCAAUGGUUACUCUUUUCGUUGAGUAAUUCUUAAAUAGGUCAAGUGCCUAUAGACACAACACAACUAAUCAAUACCUCGAGUUAGAUUAAAAUAAUUGUAAACACUUUAUUCACUCAAGAAUUGCUCCAUCUAUGUUCUACACUUUAUUCAUUUUUAUUGGUU